GCAUUUUGUUCAUACAGUGAUAAAUCCAGAUUAUCAAUAAAAACAUUUAUUGUAAAUUAGGAACCCCUUAGUCAAGAUACUGUCCUUUCAUUUGUCCUAAAAUUAUAGUAUUGAUUUUUGCUUAUUUACUUUGUCAUCUACCAGAAAAAUUUUCAAAUAACCACACAGAUCUUCAAUGUCCUUAAUUUGAAUGGAAACACUUUAAAAUGUGGCACUGCUGUGCUCCAUAUAACCUGCACAACUUUAUACACUGGCACUGUGGUGAACAAGUUCUUCUUAAAUAAUUGGGUACAUAAAUUUUAUUUCAAAAAACUCACCAUCCAAAAUGGGUAAAAUAAAAACACUUGGGUAUUCAGAAGGUUAAAGUCUCAGUAACAUCAAAGAUAUCCCUUGAAUAUUCUGAAUAGGAACCAUGUUCUAAUAAGAUCCUCUCUCUGGGGAAAAAAAUGAAGAGAUUUUCAAGAUUGUGGUUCUUGGUAUUAGUUCUCUGGCAUUCUCCCCUUCAAUAAAUUUUCCUCCAUCUUGUGGUUCCCAAAAUAUCUCUUCUACUAGGAUGCCCUGAUAUUUUCAGUUGCAAGGAUAGUGAAGUCCUGGAGAUGUUUCACAGACAAGGUAAGCUUUUGCAGAAAGCAUGAGUGUAGCAGGCUUUUUCCAUGGGAGGGGUUACCCUCCUUCUCCGUUCACCAAAACAAACUUCUUCCUGGUGCAUCCUUGGCCUGUCAGAGCUCUUCUUUCUGAUAACAGCAGCAUAUAGCAAACUGGGAUGUGUUGUUACUUCUUCAUUCAUGAAAAGUCUGAUAUGCACUUUGGUGUAUAAAGUUGACAAUAUCUAGAAGAUACUCCUGCUCUUGAAGUUUCUCUUUGGGUAGGGACCAUCCUAGCAUUUGGUACACCAGCUCCUCUAGAGAGACAGGAUUAGAUGACCUCCUUGAAGCCAUACCAGCAUCCCCUGGUGUUUAGCUAUAGCUGCUGCUUCUUUUCAAAACACACGUCUUAGCACCUGCUGCAUGUGAUGGUCUGGGUGGACACUAGAGAGAUGAAGGAAG
rnacentral:lncRNA from 1 species